CAUCGGAAGGCAGUAGAUGUGAAGUCGUUGCUUGCUUAUGUGUUUUGUGAUAUUCUGAUGUUCAAUUGUGAUGCUGCGUGUGUGUUGUUCUUUGGUAAAUACGAUGGAUUUCGUUAGGGUUAUGUUUAGGAGAUGAGCAAAGAAAGCCACUGAAGCAACAAAGAAGGGGCCAGAAUGUGCUACAGAUAUGUGGCAACAUUGGGAUUUUGCCAUACCAAUGAUGACAAGCACAAAUUGUUUGUCCAGCUUUCUCAGGAAAAUAUAGUUUUGAAGGAGCAAAUUGAAGUUUAUUGAGUUUCAAGCGAUGCAGCUAAGCUUUUUCUACUAAACCAUAAUUAGAGUAUCUAUCGUACCUAAUAAAAGCCAUAAUUAAGGGAGAUAUGUCACCCAUCUAUAGCCUCUAUUCCUCAUUUUCCCGCCAAAAGUUGCAUCGCUUUGUUUUCCCUGUGGUGAAAGCACACGCGGGAUCCAUUUACAAUUUCUAGGUAAAAAAAUAUUAUGACCCGCCUUCAUACCAACUUAACCAUAAUUCCGUUCCAGCCGCAAUCAUUCACCCAUCUAUCUUCUCUUUGUUCUCUCCAUAGAACCAACUUUCGAUCAUCCAAAAACAAAAAUCCCUAACGAAUUUUUUUUGAGGAAGAUGAAUGUGUUAGCAGAUUUCAAUCUUCUGAUUUUGUUCGGCCCAGCUUUCUUCUUCAAUCUAAAGGUUAAUUUUCUUUGAUUCAUCUAAUUGACACUAAUUUUCUGUAUUUUGGGUUUUCUUUUGGAGGUAUUUUUGCCUGUCAAGGAAUGAAAUCAAGGGAGCAGAAGUUGUGUGUCAGGGAAGCAUACCCAUUUGAAGUCAUU